UUUUAAAUCAUCAUUUUACUCGACCAACAGAAGCUGCAGAGUCUUACAAAGAGUUUAUCAAGUUUACAGAAGAUUGCGGGAUUUCCUGGGUUUUUUUUACAGUAAACAGAGAGCACAGAAGAAAGACAAGAAAACACAGCGGAACCCACCACUGACGCCCAUGUCCUCCAUGAAGCAGACCAAGAGACAUGGAAUCUCUUCACACCCACUCGAUCUCCACGCAACCCCAUCUUCACUCGAUUUCUCCUCCAUCACUCGACCUUGUUUUCUCCUCCAUAACCCAAUAAACUCGAGCCCAUUCCUCCCCUUAUUCAUCACCACCAACAAACCCAUCCUCAUCAAAGCCACAAAGAACUCGACCUCUUCACCACUUGACCGAGCUCCCCGUUCGCAUAAACACUCGACCAUCGCUUCUCUCUCAUCUAUCCAGUCAAAAAAUCACUCGACCUCGCCUCCCACUUCACCAUCUCCACAUCAGCUCUUGUUCUUCGUUUACUCGACCACUACACAGCCUUCUCUAGCUCACGAAUCCACUCGACUUCACGCAAGAGCGCCUCCGCUUCUCCACCACCGAUUCAAUCACUCGAAUCACCGCUCCUCUAACAACACUCGACCUCCGCCAUCAAUUCGCCUUCAACACUUCUCGCUCAAAAUCACUCGGCCACAGCUCUCAUCACCUCUCCACUACCACAACCACUCGACCCCUUCACACCACCGUCUUCUCUUCUUCCGCGAGCUCCACUUUACUUGAUCCCCAAUCACCAUCUUCUUCAUCGUUUCAUCACUCGAUCGCAUCUACCAACUGUCUACAAUCACUCGACUUCUUCUCACAUCAUCUCAUCACCAAUUCGUGUCUCUACACUCGUCAUUCACUACUCGACCGCCUGCUCUCUCCAAGGACACUACUCGACCUUGUCGUUCGGUUUACUAGACCGAAGCUCCUGCAUAGCCUCGUCGUUUUCACCACUCAAGCUCCAUCGCUUCACUCGGCCUUCCAUAAUCACUCGAUCAACUACCCAUAAAACGAAAAAAAAAAUAAAA
rnacentral:sRNA from 1 species